rnacentral:lncRNA from 1 species
ACUUCUUCCCCCGGAGCGGGAGGCAGUCAGCGGGAAAGCGCUCAUCAGAGGAGAAUUUACAUGGAAAUUCAAGACACAAAAAGGUGCAAUCACAGACCCGAGAUCAGAGCGACGCAAACGCCUGGAAAAGGUGGAGAUGAAAGGGGACAGUUAAGGCAACAGUAGGUGUUAACGCCGAGCCUCGCCUAAUGAGGUAAUUUAAUUAGGAUUCUACACAGGCAUCCGAGAGGCCCUCUCUACACAUCGAAAGGCCCAGCUCCGGAUGAAAGCAGGAUGCUAUUUAUUUACAAACCUCAAUAGGUGCAAUUAGAGGAUAUCUCACUGUUCUAAUGCUCAGGUUUUAGACACUAAUUAUAGGGCGUUAGCGAGGCAGACAUACAGUAUGUUACCGCAUACUGUGUAUGCAGCGAUGCAUUGUUUCUGAUAAUAAUAAUUUGAGGGUGUUUCAUAUGGUACGUUUAAUGAUGGGAGGGAUGGUGUUAAUUGAAGAUUAGCUCUUUGGCGGAAAGAGUUUCAACCCUUGCCAUCAAAGGUGGCAAGAGUUCCGGCUGGCACAAGCAAAGGCUCGCACUAAGCUACUUACUUUACAUCAUGAAGAUCCAAGUUCAGAUCAAGCAGUCUCAUUGGCUUAGGGUCAGCUGGAGGUUUCAGACUGGUCUUGGAACUGUGACAACGGGCAGCUGCUCCCCUCUUGGCUCGAUGGGAUAUGUAGUGAUUUUGCCAACACUGCCAGAUAUGUACACAGUCUUGUACCCUAACUUUUUUUGAAAUUGACUAUCGUAUUUGUUGUUUAAGUCAGACCUUAUUAGUAUGAGUAAUCCAGGAAUGUCAAUUGACACAAGAAAACACCAACUCUACAGAUCGCAAUGAAUGGCUAAAUGACUUGUGGACAUGAAGGGUCCACGGAGCUCCUCCACCUCACCACUCUAUGCUCUGAGUGUACCUGGGAACCUAGGCUGAAUGCCAACUGGAAAAUAAGCCAAGCAUACUACCCUGUAAUUUACUCCAAAGGGGAACGGGUCCAGGGGUUUGACCUCUUGACCUUUGUUCACUCCAACGUGACGUCCAGAUGGCUCCUCAGUGAAAUCAUUAGCAGGAAGUGGACAGAGAUCAAAAAAAGUUAUAUUUCAUCAUAUAGCGGAAAGUCCUCUUGUUCAUCUUUGUUCUGCCCAGUAACAGACUGAUGUUAAUGCAAAUUACAGACUUGGGGUAGAUUUGAGGACACCACUAAAGAACAGGCAGACACGCACUAGGUAAUUCAUAACAUGUCCCUUGAGGACUAGCCUACUCUGAAAUGAUGUACUGCGUGGUAAACUGUGUAGCAUGUCAAUUUCAAUGCUGAGCUAAAACAUCAAUAACACUAAGUGUAAACAAGGUAGAGAGAAGAGGUUAUGGAGAAGCAAGGCUACAAGAAAACACAGUAGUAAAAGCUUUCUUUUUUCCCCUUUUAUACACAGUUCAUUAUAGGUUAUUUAACAAAACAAGCCAUUUCAUUGUGCCAUUUAUAGAGAAGUGUCAAGUGGCCAUGUAAUUUCUCGAGUUGAAAUGUUUGUUGUCCUGAUGUGUGUGACUAAUUAGACCCUAAUUAGGGUUUAUGAGGAACAUAAUAAUCACACCAUAUGGUGCAACUUUCCUGUCAGCAACAAUUGUAAUGAACUUGCAUAGAAACGCAUUGAAUAACAUAUUCAUACAUGGCAAAACAGUUCAAAAAUAAAUAAAACAGAAGUAUCUGUUUUGAAGUGUGUGUCGUAUUUCUGAAAUACUAAGAAGCUUAUGAUUUGGGGGAUUAUACCCAUAUUUAAGCCCCUUUUUGGGGCACAAAAC